UACAGAGGUCCCGAGCGUUGUUCGGAUUUAUUGGGCGUAAAGGGUGCGUAGGCGGCGGAGUAAGUUGGGUGUGAAAUCCCGGGGCUCAACCUCGGAAUUGCAUUCAAUACUGCUUCGCUAGAGUACUGGAGAGGAGGCUGGAAUUUACGGUGUAGCAGUGAAAUGCGUAGAUAUCGUAAGGAAGGCCGGUGGCGAAAGCGAGCCUCUGGACAGUUACUGACGCUGAGGCACGAAGGCCAGGGAGCAAACGGG
rnacentral:rRNA from 1 species